rnacentral:sRNA from 1 species
GCCGUCAAUGGUAAAUGUCUGACUGAACGUAGGGAAGGAAUUUAAGGAAUUGACGGCUAAAAACAA